rnacentral:rRNA from 1 species
UGGGGAAUUUUGGACAAUGGGCGAAAGCCUGAUCCAGCAAUGCCGCGUGUGUGAAGAAGGCCUUCGGGUUGUAAAGCACUUUUGUCCGGAAAGAAAUCCUUGGCUCUAAUACAGUCGGGGGAUGACGGUACCGGAAGAAUAAGCACCGGCUAACUACGUGCCAGCAGCCGCGGUAAUACGUAGGGUGCAAGCGUUAAUCGGAAUUACUGGGCGUAAAGCGUGCGCAGGCGGUUUGCUAAGACCGAUGUGAAAUCCCCGGGCUCAACCUGGGAACUGCAUUGGUGACUGGCAGGCUAGAGUAUGGCAGGAGGGGGGUAGAAUUCCACGUGUGAGCAGUGAAAUGCGUAGAGAUGUGGAGGAAUACCGAUGGCGAAGGCGAGCCCUGGCAAUACGAUCAUGCACGAAAGCGUGGGGAGCAAA